rnacentral:rRNA from 1 species
AAGGGCACCACAAGAACGCGUGGAGCAUGUGGCUUAAUUUGACUCAACGCGGGAAAUCUUACCGGGUCCGGACACACUGAGGAUUGACAGACAAACACAUUUAUGUGUUAUAAAGAUGCUAGUUCUUUCGUGAUUAUGUGAUAGGUGGUGCAUGGCCGUUCUUAGUUCGUGGAGUGAUCUGUCUGCUUAAUUGCGUUUCAAUAUUUUAUUACGUAUACGUAUGACCAACUACCUUUACCGGUAUGUUUGUGUCUAGUAUGCUAUCAUUUGAAAGCAACGAACGUGACCGUAUCCUUUUAUUAUGUACGCACGCGUAUAUUUAUUUCAUUAAAGGGACCGCUGUUUCUUUCUUUAAACCAGAGGAAGGUUACGGCGAUAACAGGUCUGUGAUGCCCUUCGAUGUUCCGGGCUGCACACGUGCUACAAUGAUUAUUUCAUUAAGUAUCUAAUCUUUAUGUAUCGUACCUCUGUGUAUGUUCAAAAUACCUACCCUGAGAAUGGGCGGGUAAUCAAUUAGAAGUAAUGAUUUCCUUUUUUUAAUACGCAACUAUGUACCGUAUAUUACAUCCCACAUAUUUUCAAUAUAUGUGCGUGUGUGUUUUAUUACCGUGUACGCGUAACUGUUAAUUCAUGGUGGGGAUAGACCAUUGUUAAUUGUUGGUCUCGGUCUUAACUAGGAAUGCCUUGUACGGGUCAUUGGUUCAACAAACCACCCGGAAUACGUCCCUGCCCUUUGUACACACCGCCCGUCGCUCUUACCGAUGAACUUCGCUAUGAAUCUAUUGGACUGUGCUCUCUUAUGAGUGCGGAAAGAUAUAUGAAUAGUGUGGUUUAAAGGAAAGAGAAGUCGUAACAAGGCAUCAGUAGGUGAACCUGCUGAUGGAUCAUUA